rnacentral:lncRNA from 1 species
GCUUACCACAAUAAACAGCAUUACAGUGUCCUCUUAUUCUUUUGAUGUUUUGCAUCUUCUGUACCAUAGUAGAAGGUUUGGCAAUGGCAUAGCAUGCAGCACGUAUAGAUGGUGCACGGUGGUGUCUUGGUAAACCACCCCCGAUUUCCCUCAAAUGAAGCCCAUGAACCUGAUUGGCUUUCGUAUGAGGCCAGCGCAUAUAAGGAGGUGGUGGUUUAACUUCUUCAUUCACUUUAUCCCCGUCAUCUCUCAGAAGUGAAAAUGAUCCUCUUCCUAGAAGAGUGGGUACAUCAGCUGCAUUUGGAGGAUUUCC